rnacentral:rRNA from 1 species
GAUGAACGCUAGCUACAGGCUUAACACAUGCAAGUCGAGGGGCAGCAUGGUCUUAGCUUGCUAAGGCCGAUGGCGACCGGCGCACGGGUGAGUAACACGUAUCCAACCUGCCGUCUACUCUUGGACAGCCUUCUGAAAGGAAGAUUAAUACAAGAUGGCAUCAUGAGUCCACAUGUUCACAUGAUUAAAGGUAUUCCGGUAGACGAUGGGGAUGCGUUCCAUUAGAUAGUAGGCGGGGUAACGGCCCACCUAGUCUUCGAUGGAUAGGGGUUCUGAGAGGAAGGUCCCCCACAUUGGAACUGAGACACGGUCCAAACUCCUACAGGAGGCAGCAGUGAGGAAUAUUGGUCAAUGGGCGAGAGCCUGAACCAGCCAAGUAUCGUGAAGGAUGACUGCCCUAUGGGUUGUAAACUUCUUUUAUAAAGGAAUAAAGUCGGGUAUGGAUACCCGUUUGCAUGUACUUUAUGAAUAAGGAUCGGCUAACUCCGUGCCAGCAGCCGCGGUAAUACGGAGGAUCCGAGCGUUAUCCGGAUUUAUUGGGUUUAAAGGGAGCGUAGAUGGAUGUUUAAGUCAGUUGUGAAAGUUUGCGGCUCAACCGUAAAAUUGCAGUUGAUACUGGAUAUCUUGAGUGCAGUUGAGGCAGGCGGAAUUCGUGGUGUAGCGGUGAAAUGCUUAGAUAUCACGAAGAACUCCGAUUGCGAAGGCAGCCUGCUAAGCUGCAACUGACAUUGAGGCUCGAAAGUGUGGGUAUCAAACAGGAUUAGAUACCCUGGUAGUCCACACGGUAAACGAUGAAUACUCGCUGUUUGCGAUAUACAGCAAGCGGCCAAGCGAAAGCGUUAAGUAUUCCACCUGGGGAGUACGCCGGCAACGGUGAAACUCAAAGGAAUUGACGGGGGCCCGCACAAGCGGAGGAACAUGUGGUUUAAUUCGAUGAUACGCGAGGAACCUUACCCGGGCUUAAAUUGCAGAUGAAUUACGGUGAAAGCCGUAAGCCGCAAGGCAUCUGUGAAGGUGCUGCAUGGUUGUCGUCAGCUCGUGCCGUGAGGUGUCGGCUUAAGUGCCAUAACGAGCGCAACCCUUGUUGUCAGUUACUAACAGGUUCCGUUGAGGACUCUGACAAGACUGCCAUCGUAAGAUGUGAGGAAGGUGGGGAGGACGUCAAAUCAGCACGGCCCUUACGUCCGGGGCUACACACGUGUUACAAUGGGGGGUACAGAGGGCCGCUACCACGCGAGUGGAUGCCAAUCCCAAAAACCUCUCUCAGUUCGGACUGGAGUCUGCAACCCGACUCCACGAAGCUGGAUUCGCUAGUAAUCGCGCAUCAGCCACGGCGCGGUGAAUACGUUCCCGGGCCU